GCGGAUAUGGUGGAAUUGGUAGACACGCACGUUUGAGGGGCGUGUGGAUUGACCGUGCGAGUUCAAAUCUCGCUAUCCGCA
rnacentral:tRNA from 1 species